GGGGAUGAUCGGCCUAGACAAGAAGAAUGCUUUUUGAAUAUGCGCAGUGGAGCUCCAAUAACUCCUAAAAAGGUUGGAAAACAUUAAGUGCCAAGAACUUAGUUACAAAAGCUUUUCAGUCGCCGUAUUUUGCUGCUUCUGACUUGACUCUCGCCUACGCAUUGUCGUAAGCGACGUUUACGGCUCUAAGGUCCGGAACGGUACCGUAAAUGUUAUAAAAUCUCGGACUAUGGGUAUACGGAAUGUUCUCCGCACGCCCUGAAUCUUGGAACGAACUCGGCACAGACAGAUUUCGUCCGCUUCACACUGUAGGUGCUUAAAUCCGCCAGCCGGCGGACUAAAGCUGACUAGAUUGCGUAGACGUAUUCAAAACACCUUUUUGCACGGCGGUUCGAUUCCGCCCAUCUCCACUA
rnacentral:tmRNA from 1 species